rnacentral:rRNA from 1 species
UACGAAGGGGGCUAGCGUUGCUCGGAAUCACUUGGGCGUAAAGCGCACGUAGGCGGCUUUUUAAGUCAGGGGUGAAAUCCUGGAGCUCAACUCCAGAACUGCCUUUGAUACUGAAGAUCUUGAGUUCGGGAGAGGUGAGUGGAACUGCGAGUGUAGAGGUGAAAUUCGUAGAUAUUCGCAAGAACACCAGUGGCGAAGGCGGCUCACUGGCCCGAUACUGACGCUGAGGCACGAAAGCGUGGGGAGCAAAAGGG